rnacentral:lncRNA from 1 species
UCAAAUGACCAAAACUAAAGUCAGAUCCUGUGGAAGAAAAGAUACACAUUUGAGUAAAUUCCACUGCUUUUAGAGCUUUACCUAACUUCCAUAUGCCCCCACUUAAAUAAACAACAAAACCAAACACGACAGACACAAAACACUUGUAUUCUCCAGCUCUCUCUAUCCAUCCAUGUAUCUCUAUUCUUUUCUCCAUAUUAUUCUCUCUAAUGCAUACACAUAUAUAGACAAAUAGGCUAAGUUAGUUACACAUGCAAUAAGACAAUGAUAUUAUAGAUAAAUAGACACGUACAUAAAUAUAAAUAUUGCCAUUGCUAAACUAUAUAUAUAUAUGCAAAUAUUUACCACGGUUUUUCAUUGUCGCAAAGUCUUGGAGCGACAAUAAUAUAGUUACACACUUACACACACACUUCACCUAAUAUAGCUUUAGUUCUACAAGACCAUAGAUAGCACCACAAAGCAAAGCACUUUUUUCAGUAGCACUUUGCAUGUUUAACUCCCACACGUUUCUACUUUUUUCUCUUCCCUCCCAACUCCCAAGGGAAGACUAACCAUAGAGUAAUAAGAAGCACCAUCCCAAUCUCAUUCCCAAGCAUCAUUUUUUUCUAUCCUCUAUUACUCACUUACUUUCUCAUAUCUGAGUAUGUAAUGUAGUUGCAUAUCAGAUAAACUUUUCUUUUUUUGCCUAAUUUUUAAAUUUUCUUUAAACAGUAGCAGUAGUAAAAACUCUGACUGGAAUAUAAUACCUAACCAAACACGUCCUUGUGCAGAGAGGGAGCUUGACCUCAAUCCACGGAACUAGAGCUAGCAAUUUAUGUAAAGGUGUGAGUAUAUAUAUAGAGAGAGAUAUAGAUAUAUAUAAAAGAUAUAUUUGUUUAAGGUCGCGUUUGUGUCUCUGAUUUUUUUUUCUUUUUUUUUUUUCAGAGACCCAAACUGAGCGCAGCUUUCACGUCUAGCCUCCAUGCAAACCCGCCACAGUCCAAUCUCCAAACAUCACACGGCACCAUCUUCGUGCACUUCUCGUUCCGCCACGUGUACUGCAGCCUCACACCGCAGGUGAACGCCGGGUGAGAGUAGCACCACCACGAAGCGAUGGCACUAUCCUUCACUUUCAACCACACCACGAUAUUCUCACCCUCACCCUCACGCCCCUCCAGCAUCAUCCUCUUGUACGCGUCAUUCACCCACCGCACCCUAAGGCUUCCGUCACAGACAAAAGCAGGACACGUGUCAGCUUCUAGGCUCUUCACCUUCUCCGCGUCCGUACAAUCUAAUAACCCUCGCCCUCCCUCUCCGUCUCCCUCCCCCAUGCACGUGCCUGUCACGCUCUCCACUGUCACCCAAGACUCCGCCACCUUCGCCGCCGCAACAAGAUCUGAACGCUUACCUCCCUCGCCUUCCUCCGCCGCCGCGCGCGGCGGUGGAGCACUCCGAUUCUCCACGAUCUGAAUCUUCUCCACGGUUAGGUCAAGAUCAACGUUCUUACACCACGAAUCUCCGGCGAGCGUGACGUCUCCUCCCGGCGCGUCCUUCUCAGGCAUCAACUGCAACGUCACAACCGCCACGUCGGAAGACUCAUCGUUACCGUUACCGUUACUUUUUCCGUUACUGUCUCCGUUAUUCUUUCUCACGUAUCCACUGUUCCUCCGAAUCCUAACGUACUUCCUCUUCGGUCUCUUCCCCAGGACUGACACGUGGUUGUUCUGAGUAACUUCUCCGACGGCGGAGCCAGCUUCGGCGGCGGAAAUUCCGGUGACCGGCUUCGGCGCGAUCGGGCGGAAGCGGAGCAUUAUUUUGUUGACGUUGGAGUUGCCACACGCGGCCACGCGCCACGCGUCUGCACUGUCCAU